CGUAGGGCGAGCGUUAUCCGGAAUUAUUGGGCGUAAAGCGCGCGCAGGCGGCCGGUUAAGUCAGGUGUGAAAGGCUGCGGCUCAACCGCAGAGCGGCACCUGAAACUGGUCGGCUUGAGUGCAGGAGAGGGGAGCGGAAUUCCCGGUGUAGCGGUGGAAUGCGUAGAGAUCGGGAGGAACACCAGUGGCGAAGGCGGCUCUCUGGCCUGUAACUGACGCUGAGGCGCGAAAGCGUGGGAGCAAACAGGAUU
rnacentral:rRNA from 1 species